CUUGAUCGACCCCAGCCACAGCGGGUGCUCGCGGUCCUGCCCGUAGGUGGCCAGGAUCGCCUGCGCCUC
rnacentral:antisense_RNA from 2 species